AUUGAACGCUGGCGGCAGGCUUAACACAUGCAAGUCGAGCGGAGAUGAGGUGCUUGCACCUUAUCUUAGCGGCGGACGGGUGAGUAAUGCUUAGGAAUCUGCCUAUUAGUGGGGGACAACAUUCCGAAAGGAAUGCUAAUACCGCAUACGUCCUACGGGAGAAAGCAGGGGAUCUUCGGACCUUGCGCUAAUAGAUGAGCCUAAGUCGGAUUGGCUAGUUGGUGGGGUAAAGGCCUACCAAGGCGACGAUCUGUAGCGGGUCUGAGAGGAUGAUCCGCCACACUGGGACUGAGACACGGCCCAGACUCCUACGGGAGGCAGCAGUGGGGAAUAUUGGACAAGGGGGGGAACCCUGAUCCAGCCAUGCCGCGUGUGUGAAGAAGGCCUUAUGGUUGUAAAGCACUUUAAGCGAGGAGGAGGCUACUGAGACUAAUACUCUUGGAUAGUGGACGUUACUCGCAGAAUAAGCACCGGCUAACUCUGUGCCAGCAGCCGCAGUAACAC
rnacentral:rRNA from 1 species